AUGCACGCUGGCGGCGUGCCUCAUACAUGCAAGUCGCGCGAACAGAUAAGGAGCUUGCUCCUUUGACGUUAGCGGCGGACGGGUGAGUAACACGUGGGUAACCUACCUAUAAGACUGGAAUAACUCCGGGAAACCGGGGCUAAUGCCGGAUAACAUUUAGAACCGCAUGGUUCUAAAGUGAAAGAUGGUUUUGCUAUCACUUAUAGAUGGACCCGCGCCGUAUUAGCUAGUUGGUAAGGUAACGGCUUACCAAGGCAACGAUACGUAGCCGACCUGAGAGGGUGAUCGGCCACACUGGAACUGAGACACGGUCCAGACUCCUACGGGAGGCAGCAGUAGGGAAUCUUCCGCAAUGGGCGAAAGCCUGACGGAGCAACGCCGCGUGAGUGAUGAAGGUCUUCGGAUCGUAAAACUCUGUUAUUAGGGAAGAACAAAUGUGUAAGUAACUGUGCACGUCUUGACGGUACCUAAUCAGAAAGCCACGGCUAACUACGU
rnacentral:rRNA from 1 species